rnacentral:lncRNA from 1 species
GGAACAAGCCAGUAAGCAGCACUCCUCCAUGGUCUCUGCAGCAGCUCCUGCCUCCAGGUUCCUGCCCUGUUUGAGUUCCUAGCUCCAUUUCCUUCUAUGAAGAAGAGUGAUGUGGACGAACGUAUUCUCUACUUGUCCAGUGGGGGUAACCAAGGACUUCAAAGGAUGGUCCCAUGCAUCAGAAAGAAGCAGAAGAGGCCCUUAGCACACACAGAGUGCCCGGAGUCGGCUCUUAGUCCGUUAUAUAAUCCUACAGCAGAGAGUCGUACUUUACGGCUGGACUAGGGACCUGCCUUUGUAUGCGAAGUCUCUCCUUCCAGCUCCGAGCUCAGCAGCAGGAGACGCUUUGGGGAACACCAGUCCCAGCUGUUAUGUUUCGAGUGUUUGGUAUGAGCCAGGCGUUAUGAAAACCUUGCUUAAUGACUCAAAUUACUUUCAGAUACUUGCUGGCAUGGAAGAGUGAUGAGAUUAGAAUCUGUUGCCGUCCAAACGCUUUGCCUGUUUCAGCUUUAGAGUCAACUUGAGCCCAGAGACGAUGCGCACAGCUUGUUACCGACAGAUUUAUGCCAUGUGGAGGGCCCAGAAUUCCCCUAGAGCUGGUUAAAGACCUGCCUCCACCCCACGUCCGUGUCUCAAGAUCACGGUGGCAGGAGCAGGUUAUUACAAACAAACAAAAACCCAAGGUCCCUGCAGGCUCUGGGUUGAGUUACUAGAGGCAUCCCAAGAUUCGAUGUCUCUGUCCACACAGCUUUUGUGUGCACGGAUGGAAAGAGAACUCGGUUUUAGCCAUAGGCUCUGUUUAGGAUUCUUACUGUGGGUCCUUUUGGCUGUGUGGUCAGGGGCAAGGCUCUGGUCCUCUCUGAGCCUUGGUUUCUUCUCUUCUGCAAUGGAAUAAUAAUGCAGCAUGCUCCACCAGGUCACAGUGAAGAUGGAGUGGGAGCGUCAGAGCACCGUGGCUUGCCAGGAGCUACACAAGUGGGGCUUGUUGUUUUGAUGAAACCCACAAGGCUCUUUGAAGGCUCUGCCUCCCCCUCAGUACUGGCUACAUCACAACAGCUCAGUAUGUACUUUAUGGCUAUCAGAGGAGCAAGAGACUUUCCUCUUGGAGGAACUGUUCCUGUGGGGUGGGGACUAGGGCAGAUUCCCAGGCCUGGCCAGCCCAGCAUCUAGCCCUUGCACUCAGUCUAUGAUGCACAGGUCCCUCCAGGCACUCUGCUCACCUUUCUUCCUGGCUAUAGCAUUGGAUCAUUUUAAAAACAACAACAACAACAACAACAAAACACCAACAGCAUGAAAUUCUUUUCUACCCAAAGAAGCCUUUCAAAACCAACAUGCUGAGUUUUUUAUGGUUUCUGUAUAUAUUUUGCUUCCAAAAGAUGGGUAGAAAGAACAGCAAGGAUGGCCCUUUGUGCCCAAGGACAAGAUCGAGCAAAGCUCAGGGAGGCCUUUCUGACCUCUGACUUCCCCCCAUUCUACCUCCUUGUCCUCACUCCCUGGCACGAGGUUUUUGAUGUGCUCUGGCUAAUUAAUUUAAAGUGACGAUCGUCUCAGAUGAGGCUGUAAAUUACUUUCAAAUGGCCCAGCCAGGGCCACCCACUACUGGAAGAUCACAUUGCAAUGACUACAUCAAGGCUUGAACAAACCCUCGACAAAAGGGGAGGGGAGAUCCUAAAACCUCAAGUAAGAGCAGAUUUCCAUGCUAUCCUCACUGCAACCCCAAGAAAGUGGAAACAGAUGGAUGGCGGCUUUGAUAAUGAGCGCAGCAAUCAAGUUUAGAUUAAAAAAAAAAAAAGCUCAACCCGACCCAGAAGGGAUGGGUUUGACAGUAAAAUCCCAGACACAUAAUGUUCUGUUUAAGAGUCUAUUGACAUAUUAGCCGGGAAGAGAGUGGGCGCUGGUGCUGGAAGAACCUAACCGUUUCUCCUGGAGCACCCUCCAGUGUCCCCUGGCCUCGGAAUGCAGACUGCUCCACGCCCUGAUGGAAGCCACCUCAGGGCCUUUGGACUGGGCUGAUGGUCAUAUUUCCCCUGGAAAUCACUAAGUGUUCUCAAGAGAAUUGCCUACUGCCUGCUGCCAGGUCUGAGCGCAGAGCAGAGGCGCUUCAGUGUUUAAUCUAUUUAUGCUUUGGAGUUAGCGUGCAUAUAUGUGAUUUGGGGCCCAGGGGCUGGUGGUGGGGACAAGAUACCAGGGGCAAAGACAAG